rnacentral:rRNA from 1 species
UACGGAGGGGGCGAGCGUUAUUCGGAAUUAUUGGGCGUAAAGAGCUCGUAGGCGGUUUGUCGCGUCUGCCGUGAAAGUCCGGGGCUCAACUCCGGAUCUGCGGUGGGUACGGGCAGACUAGAGUGAUGUAGGGGAGACUGGAAUUCCUGGUGUAGCGGUGAAAUGCGCAGAUAUCAGGAGGAACACCGAUGGCGAAGGCAGGUCUCUGGGCCGCAACUGACGCUGAGGAGCGAAAGCAUGGGGAGCGAACAGG